UACGUAGGGUGCGAGCGUUAAUCGGAAUUACUGGGCGUAAAGCGUGCGCAGGCGGUUCGUUAAGUUCGAUGUGAAAGCCCCGGGCUCAACCUGGGAACCGCGCUUGAGACUGGCAUGCUCGAGUUCGGGAGAGGAUGGUGGAAUUCCCAGUGUAGAGGUGAAAUUCGUAGAUAUUGGGAAGAACACCGAUGGCGAAGGCAGCCAUCUGGACCGACACUGACGCUGAGGCGCGAAAGCGUGGGGAGCGAGCAGG
rnacentral:rRNA from 1 species